AUGGAUCGGCAGCAACCCAGCAUACCACAAGGAAAUUGGACAGAAAAUGGACGAUCUGUUUACUGCACGCAGGCAAGUCGUGGUGGAAACCCUAUGGGCCAUGACAAUGUGGCAGGCCGGCCAUCAACCCGUGGUGCCCCUGUAGUGGUGUCUUUGCAGUCAGAGAGCCAUACUCUAGAUGACACGGGAACCGAGGCAAAUGUUCCUGGUCCAACCAGGACUGAGUUAGGAGCUGGGGUUGUUGACGGAGCUGUGCAAGAAGAAGAAGGAGAGGAUGAGGCUGGUUCUCAACCUAUGGAACCCUAUGUUGGCAUGAGGUUUGACAGCCUUCAAAUUGCUAAGGAUCACUACAACAGCUACGCACUACGGAUGGGUUUCUCUAUCAAGAUGAACACAUCUAGAUGGACACCCCGCAUCAAUGAAUUGAUAAAACAAUAG
rnacentral:rRNA from 1 species